AUGAAUCAUCCCAUGCUUUUUCUAGCUUCUAGGUGAUCUUUAAAGCACUUCUUAUAACACAUCAAAAAGUGGGAUCAAAUUUUCUGUUUUUUGACUUUAUUAGCCAUGAAAAUAUUCACUUCCAAGACUGGCAACCCCACAAGUGGCCCAUAUCUUUAUAAUGAUGAUCUUUCUUUAAUGGCUGCUCAUAAAGGCUCUUUCUUUAAUGGCUGCUCAUAGAGGCUGCCUUAGCUGUCACUUCUCUCUUAUAAUGUGUACACACACAAACACAUAUAUUAGCAAAAGAAAAUACAAUAAAUAUACUUGUGCUGCAAGU
rnacentral:lncRNA from 1 species